AAGUCGUAACAAGGUUUCCGUAGGUGAACCUGCGGAAGGAUCAUUAGAAUAUUGGAUACACCCUUUUAGGAAAACACUCUAAAUCUUAAACCUCAAUUAUUUUUUAAAAAAACUUUCAACAACGGAUCUCUUGGUUCUCGCAUCGAUGAAGAACGCAGCGAAUUGCGAUACGUAAUAUGACUUGCAGACGUGAAUCAUUGAAUCUUUGAACGCACAUUGCGCCCCGGGGUAUUCCCCAGGGCAUGCGUGGGUGAGCGAUAUUUACUCUCAAACCUCCGGUUUGGUCCUGCUUCGGCCUAAUAUCAACGGCGCUAGAAUAAGUUUUAGCCCCAUCCUUCUUCCUCACCCUCGUAAGACUACCCGCUGAACUUAAGCAUAUCAAUAAGCGGAGGAAA
rnacentral:rRNA from 1 species